rnacentral:lncRNA from 1 species
AUGGAUUGUUUUAAACACUGUGUGUACACAAUGUCGCCACACAAUGUCGCCACACAGUGUGUACACACAGUGUUUAAACAUCCAUCUUCAGGUGUGAACAUGUUCACACGUGUUUUGACACCCUGCUCCUUUAUGAACACACAAAGUGGUCAUGUUGUGGUCAUUUUGUGUUUUUGUGCGGUUGUUUUGUGUCUCUUAGUUGUCAUGUUGUGUAUUUGUGGUUGUUUUAUGUAUUUGUGGUUGUUUUGCAUCUCUGUGGUCAUGUUGUGUGUUUGUGUGGUUGUUUUGUAUCUGUGGUCAUGUUUUGUAUUUGUGUGGUUGUUUUGUGUCUCUGUGGACAUGUUGUGCGGUUGUUUUGUGUCUCUGUGGUCAUGUUGUGUGUUUGUUUUGUGUCUCUGUGGACAUGUUGUGUGUUUGUGCGGUUGUUUUGUGUCUCUGUGGACAUGUUGUGUGUUUGUGCGGUUGUUUUGUGUCUCUGUGGACAUGUUGUGUGUUUGUGUGGUUGUUUUGUGUCUCUGUGGUCAUGUUGUGUGGUUGUUUUGUGUCUCUCUGGACAUGUUGUGCGGUUGUUUUGUGUCUCUGUGGACAUGUGUGUUUGUGUGGUUGUUUUGUGUCUCUGUGGACAUGUGUGUUUGUGUGGUUGUUUUGUGUCUCUGUGGACAUGUGUGUUUGUGUGGUUGUUUUGUGUCUCUGUGGACAUGUGUGUUUGUGCGGUUGUUUUGUGUCUCUGUGGACAUGUGUGUUUGUGCGGUUGUUUUGUGUCUCUGUGGACAUGUGUGUUUGUGUGGUUGUUUUGUGUCUCUGUGGACAUGUGUUUGUGUGGUUGUUUUGUGUCUCUGUGGUCAUGUAGUGCGGUUGUUCUGUGUCUCUGUGGACAUGUUGUGCGGUUGUUUUGUGUCUCUGUGGUCAUGUUGUGUGUUUGUUUUGUGUCUCUGUGGACAUGUUGUGUGUUUGUGCGGUUGUUUUGUGUCUCUGUGGACAUGUUGUGUGUUUGUGUGGUUGUUUUGUGUCUCUGUGGACAUGUUGUGUGUUUGUGUGGUUGUUUUGUGUCUCUGUGGUCAUGUUGUGUGGUUGUUUUGUGUCUCUCUGGACAUGUUGUGCGGUUGUUUUGUGUCUCUGUGGACAUGUGUGUUUGUGUGGUUGUUUUGUGUCUCUGUGGACAUGUGUGUUUGUGUGGUUGUUUUGUGUCUCUGUGGACAUGUGUGUUUGUGCGGUUGUUUUGUGUCUCUGUGGACAUGUUGUGUGUUUGUGUGGUUGUUUUGUGUCUCUGUGGACAUGUGUGUUUGUGUGGUUGUUUUGUGUCUCUGUGGACAUGUGUGUUUGUGCAGUUGUUUUGUGUCUCUGUGGACAUGUUGUGUGGUUGUUUUGUGUCUGCAGUCAUGUUGUGCGGUUGUUCUGUGUCUCUGUGGACAUGUUGUGCGGUUGUUUUGUGUCUCUGUGGACACAUGUCUGUGUGUAGCAGGACACAGCGCUGGUUGUGUAGGGCCUGUGUGA